rnacentral:rRNA from 1 species
GACGAACGCUGGCGGCGUGCUUAACACGUGCAAGUCGAACGGAAAGGCCUUUUCGGAGGUACUCGAGUGGCGAACGGGUGAGUAACACGUGGGUGAUCUGCCCUGCACUCUGGGAUAAGCCUGGGAAACUGGGUCUAAUACCGGAUAGGACCGCACUUUAGUGUGUGUGGUGGAAAGUUUUUUCGGUGUAGGAUGAGCCCGCGGCCUAUCAGCUUGUUGGUGGGGUAAUGGCCUACCAAGGCGGCGACGGGUAGCCGGACUGAGAGGUUGGUCGGCCACAUUGGGACUGAGAUACGGCCCAGACUCCUACGGGAGGCAGCAGUGGGGAAUAUUGCACAAUGGGCGCAAGCCUGAUGCAGCGACGCCGCGUGGGGGAUGACGGCCUUCGGGUUGUAAACUCCUUUCGCCAGGGACGAAGCGUUUUGUGACGGUACCUGGAGAAGAAGCACCGGCUAACUACGUG